rnacentral:rRNA from 1 species
CAAGAGAGCGCGAAACCGUUAGGAGGGAAGUGCAGGGCAGCGAGCGGAAGGCCCUCGGUGAAAUUCAGCCGUCUGUCGGUUUCCGAUUGGUGGGGAACCGGUGGCGGUGCACUUUUCGCCAGGGCACGUCAGUGGCGAUCGCUUCCGCCCCUCGAAGCGGCGGAGGGUUGCCUCCUCGGAGGUCAGGUGACCGGGACGACCUCGGUCGUCUCGGAGCGUAUACUCUGUCGUCGGGGGCGUGGUGGCGAUCGAGGAGUAGGUUCGUUCCGUAGGCGUCCAUUCGCCUGGAGCAAAGGCAGGUGCGGGCCAGAGUGUCUGGCCGGGCGGCCCAUGGUGUUCGGUAGUCUCGAGCGAGUGCAGCCCCGUCUCCCUGGCGGGCGGCUGGUUCGAGUUCGACCGGCGUCAGGUGUCCGUCUCGCCCGCGCCUAGGUGACUGGCGUGGAGUCGUUGCCGUGCGU